UACUAGUGAAUGAGUUGUGUUCUGCAUGGACACUUUAGCAUGGCUACCUUGUUUAGUUGAAUAUUGUGCAAGCAGCAACAUAUCACUGUACA
rnacentral:lncRNA from 1 species